rnacentral:rRNA from 1 species
UACGUAGGAUGCGAGCGUUGUCCGGAAUUAUUGGGCGUAAAGAGCUCGUAGGUGGCCUGUCGCGUCGGCUGUGAAAACUCGGGGCUCAACUCCGAGCUUGCAGUCGAUACGGGCAGGCUAGAGUUCGGCAGGGGAGACUGGAAUUCCUGGUGUAGCGGUGAAAUGCGCAGAUAUCAGGAGGAACACCGGUGGCGAAGGCGGGUCUCUGGGCCGAUACUGACACUGAGGAGCGAAAGCGUGGGGAGCGAACAGG